rnacentral:rRNA from 1 species
GACGAACGCUGGCGGCGUGCCUAAUACAUGCAAGUAGAACGCUGAAGGAGGAGCUUGCUUCUCUGGAUGAGUUGCGAACGGGUGAGUAACGCGUAGGUAACCUGCCUGGUAGCGGGGGAUAACUAUUGGAAACGAUAGCUAAUACCGCAUAAGAGUAGAUGUUGCAUGACAUUUGCUUAAAAGGUGCAAUUGCAUCACUACCAGAUGGACCUGCGUUGUAUUAGCUAGUUGGUGAGGUAACGGCUCACCAAGGCGACGAUACAUAGCCGACCUGAGAGGGUGAUCGGCCACACUGGGACUGAGACACGGCCCAGACUCCUACGGGAGGCAGCAGUAGGGAAGCUUCGGCAAUGGACGGAAGUCUGACCGAGCAACGCCGCGUGAGUGAAGAAGGUUUUCGGAUCGUAAAGCUCUGUUGUAAGAGAAGAACGAGUGUGAGAGUGGAAAGUUCACACUGUGACGGUAUCUGACCAGAAAGGGACGGCUAACUACGUG